rnacentral:rRNA from 1 species
GUGGGGAAUUUUGGACAAUGGGCGCAAGCCUGAUCCAGCAAUGCCGCGUGCAGGAAGAAGGCCUUCGGGUUGUAAACUGCUUUUGUACGGAACGAAACGGUCCGGGUUAAUACCCUGGGCUAAUGACGGUACCGUAAGAAUAAGCACCGGCUAACUACGUGCCAGCAGCCGCGGUAAUACGUCGGGUGCAAGCGUUAAUCGGAAUUACUGGGCGUAAAGCGUGCGCAGGCGGUUUUGUAAGACAGGCGUGAAAUCCCCGGGCUCAACCCGGGAAUUGCGCUUGUGACUGCAAGGCUGGAGUGCGGCAGAGGGGGAUGGAAUUCCGCGUGUAGCAGUGAAAUGCGUAGAUAUGCGGAGGAACACCGAUGGCGAAGGCAAUCCCCUGGGCCUGCACUGACGCUCAUGCACGAAAGCGUGGGGAGCAAACAGGAUUAGAACCCUUGUAGUCC